GACGAACCGUGCGAACGUUGUUCGGAAUCACUGGGCUUAAAGGGCGCGUAGGCGGCCGAUCGCGUCCGGGGUGAAAGCUUCCGGCUCAACCGGAAAAGCGCCUCGGGUACGGAUCGGCUGGAGGGAGGUAGGGGCAGGUGGAACUUCCGGUGGAGCGGUGAAAUGCGUUGAGAUCGGAAGGAACGCCGGUGGCGAAAGCGACCUGCUGGACCUUUUCUGACGCUGAUGCGCGAAAGCUAGGGGAGCGAACGGG
rnacentral:rRNA from 1 species